AUUUAAAAGGUGUGCAGGGAAGGGAGAAGGGAAUCUAAAAUCCACUCUUGGGGCCAGAGAGUAUAGGUCCGAGUCGCUUCUGACUCUGUCACGGGGACUCUCAGGUAAACCUGUAGGUAAUUUGUGUCCUUUCCUUCACGUGACUCAACAGGGGUUUUUCUCAGUAGUGCCUUUGUGUUUCUCCUGCAGGAGAACCGUCAGUGGGGCCCUUCCAGUCCCUGCACGCAGAGUAAAGAAGGUAAGUAAUUCUGAUGAAUUGGGUGAGGUGCGUACCUGACGCCGUUCGCCACGAGAUUCUGGGUCCACGGUUGGAAACACCUAAAAGGUCCACAGGUAAGUAUGCAGGUGAAUAUAUGCAAGGGCGAUGCACUGGUAUUUCACUCGGGGCGUACAGGUAAGUAUGCAGAAGGACAACUGGGUCUUUACUUUGGACGUACAGGUGAGUAUACAAGGGCAACUAGAGCUUGACUCUGAGCAUACAAGUAAGCAUACAAGGGCAAUACGCUAGCUCUUAGCUUUAGGCGUACAGAGGGGCAUACAGGUAAGUAUACAAGGGCAAUACGCUGGCUCUUAGCUUGAGGCGUACAGAUGGGCAUACAGGGGCAACUGGAGCUUUGCUCUGGGCAUGCAGGUGGAUAUACAAUGACAAUACUGAAUGGAUACAACUCACAGACCCUCGAAGAGGUGGACGUCAGGCUUUAGCCCUUUUCAGCUCGGGAGUCUAGAGAAGAUGUAUAUGUCACGACAACUGUGGUCUUCUUCACCAGGGCAGACUUCCCAGACCAACACUCAACACGGUCACCUCCAACCGUGGAAACACUCCCACGACGACUCAGAGCCUCAAGCUCAGACCUGUAGGACUAGUAACAGACAGACAGAGUUCCUUCACAAAUUUACUUAGCUUCAGUGAAUAUAUGGAGAAAGACACACCACCUCUCGAAUUUGACCAAGAGUGGAUAGAAGUACAGAUUGAAGUCGCUGCACGUUGGGCCUUCCACGGCCUCAGCUGGUGCCACCACGCUG
ensembl:lncRNA